AUCCUUGCACCCCCUGGCUCAUGACUCCUUACAGCAAACCCAGGCCAGGGCCACAGUCGGAGUUUAAUUUCGCGCUUACUGCCACUAGACAGCUGGUGGAGCGCACGAUAAAGGGCGGUUCCGUGUGCUCCACCGCACUGGUGGCGACAUCAUGUAUUCGCCGGAAAAUCGUGGUCCUGUGUGCCAUCCUGCAUAAUAUUACUGUAAGGAGUCGCCUGGAGCUUCCCGAAUCGGAGGAAAUGCCAAGUGAGGAUGAGGAGCCAGGGGUUGGGCGGAGAUUCCGUGGUGGGUCCGAUUAUCAGCGAGGACACGCAUUAAGGGCACGAAUCGUGCAGGAGUAUUUCAGCUGAUUGGUCCAGCAAAAUGUGGGCAAGCACAACGGCAGAGGGGAGCGGCACCACCAGCGAGGCCACAGCCAGCCUCACCUCCAUCCUCCUCCCCACCCCAAAAUCCAAUCCCAUCCAACAUUCUUCCCCCACAUUCGAGUGGGCCGCAGAGGCACCCGAGGAGGUGGAGGGUGCUGUCCAUCCAGCAGGAGAUCAUGAUGCAGUUGGAGAUCCACCAACAAUUAGUACCAUACUGGCAAGGAUGGCACACCACCUCAGGGGCCUGCUUCAUGAAGUGGAGAU